rnacentral:misc_RNA from 1 species
AAGUCGUAACAAGGUUUCCGUAGGUGAACCUGCGGAAGGAUCAUUAGAGAACCUGGGCCUGCGCUUCUAGCGCGGCUCCAACCAAUACACAGUGUAUUUUGCUUCUUUUGCUUUGGCUCUGCCAAAGGUUUUAAACACAGAAAUUUAUUUUCUCUAGAAACUAGUCAAUUUGAAUUUUAAUCUUCAAAACUUUCAACAACGGAUCUCUUGGUUCUC